rnacentral:rRNA from 1 species
CCUACGGGCGGCUGCAGUGGGGAAUUUUGGACAAUGGGCGCAAGCCUGAUCCAGCCAUGCCGCGUGCAGGAUGAAGGCCUUCGGGUUGUAAACUGCUUUUGUACGGAACGAAAAGCCCCCUUCUAAUAAAGGGGGGUGAUGACGGUACCGUAAGAAUAAGCACCGGCUAACUACGUGCCAGCAGCCGCGGUAAUACGUAGGGUGCAAGCGUUAAUCGGAAUUACUGGGCGUAAAGCGUGCGCACGCGGUUGAAAUCCCCGGGCUCAACCUGGGAACUGCCUUUGUGACUGCAUAGCUUGAGUGCGGCAGAGGGGGAUGGAAUUCCGCGUGUAGCAGUGAAAUGCGUAGAUAUGCGGAGGAACACCGAUGGCGAAGGCAAUCCCCUGGGCCUGCACUGACGCUCAUGCACGAAAGCGUGGGGAGCAAACAGGAUUAGAUACCCUUGUAGUC